rnacentral:lncRNA from 1 species
CAAGCUUUUCCUUAAAUCAUACAUCACGUAGCGGAAGAUGCCAGAAAUUUUUGUUCAUAUAUUCUUUGCAGACAGCUCUCCCUGAUUCUUUGGAAUCAAGGGAUUCUAAGGAAUCAGGGGAGGCCAGACCGUUCUCCCUCCUGUAAAGACUAUUCUCUUCCUGUCCCACCCAGAGGCCACAACUAUAAAAAUGUGUUGUUCAUUGCAUUAGGUCCAUUCAGAUUCAGGAGAGACCCAUCCCCCCAUUAUAGCCAGAGAUGCAAUUUUUUUAAAGAUACAUGGAAAAAUAGGCAACCCAGAAAUGGUCUUUCUAACCAUGUAAUUACCCUGAACCUUGGGCUUCCAAGACUGGUAUUCAUGCAAGCUGCUUGGAAACUGGAAUAAUGUCUCCAUUCACACUCCAGGUGCACACUGAGCCUUGUGACUUCUCACCAAGUAUACAGAUUGUACCAGAGAGAGGAUCAGAUUAGGUCUCCUGCAAACAAACCAAGAGCACUUUAGCAGUCAGGGUUGCCUGGGCACUUGAGGUUGACUUGACUGGUUCUAACCCUGGUAUAGUCACCACUGAAGUGGGGAAAGCAGGGAAGGCUUCAUUCCAGACAGAGAACCCAGAGGGACAACUUUCUGCUGACAGAAAUUCCCAGGACCAUUUUCCUUAAGUGGCUGGAGUACUGCAGGCUCUCAACACUAGUGCAGGUCUUCUCCCUGCAAUAGUGGAAGUCACUGUGCUUCAGAUAAAACAAUUUAUGGACACACCCACCAUCUUUGAAAACUGUUUUCUCCAUAGUCACCUGCCUGCUAAAUUCACCAGAUCCAUUUUAGUGUGUUCACUUGUCUGGGCCUUUCUGUGACAUUUGGCUCCUCCUGUCACUCAUCAAAAUGCUGCUUUGACUUACCUGGCACUAGCUGGUCUUCCCUUCUCUCUGACCUUUCUGGCUACCUCUCAGUCUCUUUCUGGCUUCCCUCCCACCUGAGGCCCCUCCUUGUCCCUGUCCCUAUGGCUGUAAGAGCCACAAGUGCAAUUCCCAGGUUGUGUACACUUCAGUCUCACCUCUUCCCUUGGAUAUCCCCGAGCUCUGUCCGGGAUGCCGAGCAAAUCACCUCCUUCUCAGGAUCCCAGGGCCUUUUUCAGGUUUUUCUACUGCUUAAGGUGGAUUUGCUUUGACAUGUUUCU